AGUGAACGCUGGCGGUAGGCCUAACACAUGCAAGUCGAACGGCAGCACAGUAAGAGCUUGCUCUUACGGGUGGCGAGUGGCGGACGGGUGAGGAAUACAUCGGAAUCUACCUUUUCGUGGGGGAUAACGUAGGGAAACUUACGCUAAUACCGCAUACGACCUACGGGUGAAAGCAGGGGAUCUUCGGACCUUGCGCGAUUGAAUGAGCCGAUGUCGGAUUAGCUAGUUGGCGGGGUAAAGGCCCACCAAGGCGACGAUCCGUAGCUGGUCUGAGAGGAUGAUCAGCCACACUGGAACUAAGACACGGUCCAGACUCCUACGGGAGGCAGCAGUGGGGAAUAUUGGACAAUGGGCGCAAGCCUGAUCCAGCCAUACCGCGUGGGUGAAGAAGGCCUUCGGGUUGUAAAGCCCUUUUGUUGGGAAAGAAAAGCAGCAGGUUAAUACCCCGCUGUUCUGACGGUACCCAAAGAAUAAGCACCGGCUAACUUCGUG
rnacentral:rRNA from 1 species